rnacentral:rRNA from 1 species
UACGUAGGGGGCAAGCGUUGUCCGGAAUUAUUGGGCGUAAAGAGCGCGUAGGCGGUCCGAUAAGUCGGCUGUGAAAGUCAGGGGCUCAACCCUUGGAAGCCGGCCGAUACUGUCGGACUAGAGUCCGGAAGAGGCGAGUGGAAUUCCCGGUGUAGCGGUGAAAUGCGCAGAUAUCGGGAGGAACACCAAUGGCGAAGGCAGCUCGCUGGGACGUUACUGACGCUGAGACGCGAAAGCGUGGGGAGCAAACAGG